UGGCUGAGGAAGCGGGCAAUGGGCAGUGACCAGGCAGGACAUAUCUGGGUGCCCUGUCCAUGUCCUCACUGGAAGCCAUGACUUCAGGCCUCCAACAGCCGGUGAGCAUGGGGUUUGAUCCUGAGAGCUCUGUUUCCAAACUCAUUCACAUAUGCCUCAGUUUCCCCACCUGUAUAGUGAAGAUAAAGUAGCCCUCGCACAGCACUCUUAGGAAGUGCAGGAAACAAUGUCUGGGCAGUGUCUAGAGCCUGGGACAUCGAAACGGCACCAUAAACGCUGGUUUCUCCUGUUUUAUUCACUGUGCUCUUCUCAACCCCCACCCCCCACUCUAGCGGGAGAAACAUGAAAACAAACAAGCAAAGUGGAGUCAGUGCUGGAGUGGACAGUGGAGUGUGGCCCGUGGGCAUGUGAACUCAGCACGAACUAGUGGUGUCCAGGGGAGUUCUUGGGUGAGAGUGGGCUUCUUUGAGGCUCUCGCGGUAGGAGUCAGGAAGAUUCUGGUGACAGAGCUGGUCACACCGAAGACAGGAACCACACACCUUUGAUACUCAAUGCUGAGAAACUUCUGCGGUUUGGAACAUGUACUGAUGUAAAUGGACAAGAAAGAAAACCUGGGAUUUUCUCUGUGGAUGCCACCUUUCAUUUUCAGAAAACUCACAAGGACUUGAUUCAGUCGCCCGUAUUUGUCCUGUGGGUAGUAAUCUGUGAUGGGAGGGACCGAGCGAACUGGAAACAGUGUGAAGUAACUGUGACAGGCUUGCAGAACUUCUCCUUUCUCGUAUCCUAACAGAAGUUUUUGGUUGGGAUGUUUCGGAUUAGGAGGCCAUCUCUCAUUUAUGAACUACCAGGAGGCUUAGAAGUAUGUGUUGGUCACGUGUGUCCUGACUCACCUCAACAGAGGAAAUAGGAUCGGGCUGACUAACAGUGAGGUAAUUUCUGCAGAUCUGUUGCAGACAAAGUUAAUAGAUUACAAUUAAAGCCUUCAUCCUGCAUUCAUAGGGGUCCCUGCUCCUGCUGGCAUUGGGAAAUCUACCAAGCACAGUCUUCGGUGCUGAGCACUCUUUAGGUGCCAGUGAGUCUAAGAAGUGAUUCCCGCGGGGUACUGCUGGCAGUCUAGAGCUUGCAGAUAUGAACGACCUCUGGCCUGUGGGCUGUGUGUGGCUGAGGACAGAAACGCAUUCAGCCCAACACAAAUACGUAGAAUUGCUUGAAACAGGAAAGAUUUUUUGAACAGUUCUCGGUAGAGGAGUUUGUAGAUGAUGACAUCAUACCAGUGUUGUGAUAUCAGAAGGCUGGGUAUACUGCAUGCAUCCAUUGAACCAGGACUGGACUGUGUAGACGAACUGUACCAGACCACCUGAAGUGGGCUGGUAUUUUGACCUGAUAGUAGAAUUUAGCUUUCUUUGGUAGCGAUCUUCAAACAAUAUGAUGAUCUUAAUGUUUAUUUUUCCCUAAAACUGAUGUGUUAAAAUCCCCACCCUCAAGGCUAUGGUGAUAUGAACUGGCAUCUUUGGGCAGUGAUUAAAUUCCGAUAGCUCUUCA